rnacentral:misc_RNA from 1 species
GAAAUGCGAUAAGUAAUGUGAAUUGCAGAAUUUAGUGAAUCAUCGAAUCUUUGAACGCACAUUGCGCCCCCUGGUAUUCCGGGGGGCAUGCCUGUUCGAGCGUCAUUACAACCACUCAAGCUUGCGCUUGGUAUUGGGGCACGCGGUCUCGCGGCUCCUAAAAUCAGUGGCGGUGCCGGUCGGCUCUACGCGUAGUAACACUCCUCGCGAUGGAACCCGGUCGGUGGCUUGCCAGCAACCCCCCUCUAUUUUACAGGUUGACCUCGGAUCAGGUAGGGAUACCCGCUGAACUUAA